AAAAUGGGCCAAGGGCGGCGGCUAAUACAUGCAAGUCGAGCGAAACUGAUUAGAAGCUUGCUUCUAUGACGUUAGCGGCGGACGGGUGAGUAACACGUGGGCAACCUGCCUGUAAGACUGGGAUAACUUCGGGAAACCGAAGCUAAUACCGGAUAGGAUCUUCUCCUUCAUGGGAGAUGAUUGAAAGAUGGUUUCGGCUAUCACUUACAGAUGGGCCCGCGGUGCAUUAGCUAGUUGGUGAGGUAACGGCUCACCAAGGCAACGAUGCAUAGCCGACCUGAGAGGGUGAUCGGCCACACUGGGACUGAGACACGGCCCAGACUCCUACGGGAGGCAGCAGUAGGGAAUCUUCCGCAAUGGACGAAAGUCUGACGGAGCAACGCCGCGUGAGUGAUGAAGGCUUUCGGGUCGUAAAACUCUGUUGUUAGGGAAGAACAAGUACUAUAUUAACUGCUUUUACCUUGACAGUACCUAAUCAA
rnacentral:rRNA from 1 species